rnacentral:rRNA from 1 species
UACGUAGGGACCAAGCGUUGUUCGGAUUUACUGGGCGUAAAGGGUGCGUAGGUGGCGCUGUAAGUCGGGUGUGAAAUUUCGGAGCUUAACUCCGAAACUGCAUUCGAUACUGCGGUGCUUGAGGACUGGAGAGGAGACUGGAAUUCAUGGUGUAGCAGUGAAAUGCGUAGAGAUCAUGAGGAAGACCAGUGGCGAAGGCGGGUCUCUGGACAGUUCCUGACACUGAGACACGAAGGCCAGGGGAGCAAACGGG